GCCUGGGUGGCUAAGUUGGUGGAGCAUCUGACUUCAGCUCAAGUCAUGAUCUCACAGUCUGUGGGUUGGAGCCCCACAUCGGGCU
rnacentral:tRNA from 1 species